CCGUAUCUAUGAUGGCCUUUCCUGUCCAGGAUUCAAUAGUAAUGGGUACGACUAACUGUUGUGGCAGGAAGACACACUGGUUGGAAGCAGUGGGAGUGAACGUUUCAAACUUGUGGGUGGAUGCUGACCAGAAGGAUGCAUAGACUGAAGGGUGGAAUAGAGCGGACAGUUUCCAGGCGGGUGUAGUCCCUUACAUCUCCAACACUGGACUGGAGGUUUUUCAGCAGGUCGAUUAGAGCUGAAGGCCCAAUUUCACCAACUCAUCCACUGUGCUUACCCGAC